UAAGUAUCUCAUAAUGUUUACUUUUCUCUGUUUCACAUUUCUGUUUGGAUACAGUUUCAUUACAUUGUUGUGUAAUCAAGAUCAAAUUGGGCUAGCUUUCACCUGAAGAAACUAUUGCAAAAAUUAUGGCCAACCCUGAAGUUGCUCAGGCCUUUCAAAACCCAAGAGUCCAAGCAGCAAUCAUGGAUAGUUCACAGAACCCUCUGAGCAUUGCAAAAUAUCAAAAUGACAAGGAGGUUAUGGAUCUUUUCAAUAAAUUAUCGGAACUCUUCCCUGGAGUGAGCGGUCCAUUAUGAUUGCCGUCGUUCAUUCAGAGCUCACAGUUGGUCGAUGCUGGAGUAGAAAUGCUCAUUAUUUGUUCUUAAUGAUUAAGGUGGUUAGAACAAAAAUCUAAAUCUAAAGCCUGCAUGGCUGAACAUACUCUCCCUUGCUGGUAGUGGUGGGCCAUAUAUUGAGAUGUACUUCUUGCAUAUUUACU